rnacentral:rRNA from 1 species
GGGGGGAGCAAGCGUUGUUCGGAUUUACUGGGCGUAAAGGGCGCGUAGGCGGCCACCGCAAGUCGACUGUGAAAUCUCCGGGCUUAACUCGGAAAGGUCAGCCGAUACUGCGGGGCUAGAGUGCAGAAGGGGCAACUGGAAUUCUCGGUGUAGCGGUGAAAUGCGUAGAUAUCGAGAGGAACACCUGCGGCGAAGGCGGGUUGCUGGGCUGACACUGACGCUGAUGUGCGAAAGCUAGGGGAGCGAACGGGAUUAGAUACCCCGGUAGUCCUAGCCUUAAACGAUGAAUGCUUGGUGUCUGGGGUUUUAUAGUCCCCGGGUGCCGUCGCUAACGCUUUAAGCAUUCCGCCUGGGGAGUACGGUCGCAAGACUG